UUUGGCAGCCAUAGAGGAGAGGGUACACCCGACCCCAUUCCGAACUCGGAAGUUAAGCUCUCCAUCGCCGAUGAUACUGCAUAACGUCAUGUGGGAAAGUAGGCCGCUGCCAAAG
rnacentral:rRNA from 1 species